rnacentral:misc_RNA from 1 species
UUUCCGUAGGUGAACCUGCGGAAGGAUCAUUAUUGUAUAACCGAGGUGCGAGGGUUGUCGCUGACCCGAAAGGUCGUGCACGCCCGAGUGCCCUCACACACAUCCAUCUCACCCCUAUGUGCACCACCGCGUGGGUCCCCCUUUGGCUUGUUCGGAGGGGGGCUUACGUUUUCACACAAACUUUGUAUGCAGUGUAGAAUGUAUUUUUAGUUUUUGCGAUCACGCAAUCAAUACAACUUUCAACAACGGAUCUCUUGGCUCUC